UGAGGAAUUUUGCGCAAUGGGAGCAAUCCUGACGCAGCAACGCCGCGUGGGUGAUGAAGGCCUUCGGGUCGUAAAGCCCUGUCAGGUGGGAAGAAUGUCCCGGGACUGAACAGGUUCCGGGAGUGACGGUACCACCAGAGGAAGCACCGGCUAACUCCGUGCCAGCAGCCGCGGUAAUACGGAGGGUGCAAGCGUUAUUCGGAAUUACUGGGCGUAAAGCGCGUGUAGGCGGUCCCGCAAGUCUGAUGUGAAAGCCCCGGGCUUAACCCGGGAAGUGCACUGGAAACUGUGGGACUUGAGUGCUGGAGAGGAUGGGGGAAUUCCCGGUGUAGAGGUGAAAUUCGUAGAGAGCGGGAGGAAUAGCAGUGGCGAAGGCGCCCAUCUGGACGGUAACUGACGCUGAGACGCGAAAGCGUGGGGAGCAAACA
rnacentral:rRNA from 1 species